CCCUUAGAUGUUCUGGGCCGCACGCGUGCUACACUGAGUGGAUCAGCGGGUCAGGUUACGCGAGAGCGUUUCCUAAUCUUCAAAUCCGCUCGUGAUGGGGAUUGACGGUUGCAAUUUUCCGUCAUGAACGAGGAAUACCUUGUAAGCGCGGGUCAUCAUCCCGCGCUGAAUACGUCCCUGCCCUUUGUACACACCGCCCGUCGCUCCUACCGAUUGAGUGGUCCGGUGAGGCUUUGGGAUCUAAGCGAAAAGAGCGUUUCGCUCCUUUUGCUGGGAGAACUCGGUCGAACCUUAUCAUUUAGAGGAAGGAGAAGUCGUAACA
rnacentral:rRNA from 1 species